ACAAGUGGAGGCAUGGCUGAAAGGUGUGGCUGCGGACAGACCCGCCAGGAGGAGCCUCUCUGCGGCGGAAGGAAACUUUUUUUAUUGUUCUUCUGACGAUGGCUUCAUGACGUCAGCGAGCAGAGGGCAGUGAAGCCGCGCGAGGCGAGUCCCGAGCGAGCUGUGGACUUCUUUGUGUCUGAACCCAGAGGAACCUGCUGUGGUCUCAGCCUGAAGCUCCUGGACUUCACUGUCCUCCGUCAGCAGCCGGAAAUGGGACAGACUGACUGAACUGAAGAGCACUUCCUGCCCAUCUGUUGUCAGUCACGGUUCCACAUCACCUUUUGAGCAAACAUGCGUAGAUUCAGUUCUGAGGGAUCCCUCUUGGAUCUGGACUUCCUACCAUGGAAGACGAUAUCCAUGAAACACCCAGAACACAGGAAAAGCCUGCACUCUGAUGCGUACACACCUCACCUGGAGAGCGACGAGCUGGAUGGAGGGAUCCCUGGUCGGGUCCCCAUCAUUCAGGAGACUAAAGUGACUUCCAGUGACAAGGGGAAGACGGUUCUGAGCAGGGAGCAUAGCAUCAGCGUGGAGAACCUGUCUGAGCGGGGAAACCUGGCCAAGAACCACCUGGAAGUGUGCGCGAUCAACGAAGGCUGCAGGGCUUACAGUGACAGCCAACUGGCUCCCAAUGCUGAGGGCCCGGACGGCGUGGAGCAAGACGACCAUACUCCAUCUCCAUCAGCUUACUUCAACUCACUUUUCAACAAACCUAACGACCGACACCAUCAUAGGGCCAAGCUGUCGGCUGCUAAACUGCACCUCAAGAGCCUGUUUGGACAGAGUCCACAUUCAUCAAACCCCAACUUGUCCAACACAGUGGAGAAAGACAGUGCUACAGAGAGGAGGUCUCGUCUGCACUUCAUGCAUCAGUGGAGUCAAGUGGGCCUCGGAAAGAAGAGGAAGUUCAGUCGAGAAGAUCUGGAGAAGUGGGCGGAGUCUUUAGACUCUUUGUUAGCCAGUCACACUGGCGUUUCCGUGUUCGGGGCGUUUUUGCGCUCCGAGUUCAGCGAGGAGAAUCUGCAGUUCUACUUGGCCUGCGAGGAGUACAGCCAUUCCUCCAACAACUUCAGCCUGCAGAGGAGGGCCAGAGACAUCAGCGCCACGUACAUCCAAGCAGGCUCUCCACGUGAGGUGAACCUGGACAGUAAGACCAGAGACCUGACCCUGCAGCUGCUGCAGGCCCCCUCCCGCAGCUCGCUGCAGCACGCACAGAAGCGCAUCUACUCCCUGCUGGACACAGAUUGUUACCCUCGCUUCCUCCAGUCCAACAUCUACCUCUGUUUGCUGCAAGAAGCCGAGUAAAAGCCACGCACCUGGACUGAGUGGACCCCGUGGACCACGUGGUCUGGGACUUUGUAAACCCUGAGAAAUGUGGGGGUGGAGGGCGUUACUGGUUCUUCGGCUGCACUUUUAUGGCUCGUGUUUAUAAUUAUUUUACCUCUACAGGGUCGUUUUAAUUUACCAGAGGAUUCUUUGUAUUCUGUUUUUAUUCUGAUCAGAUAUGAAAUAAAAGGUUUUUUUUCAACACUGCA